CGACCCGGGGCUGGGCGGAGGGGGCGGAGGGGGCGGCGGAGCGCGGGCCGAGCGAGGGCUUGCCUGGAGAGGGCUCGGCCGGCCCGGCGGCGGACCUGGGAAGCGGGUGGAGGGUGCUCUCCUCCUUCCACACCCCGCCCCGGAGGGGCAGAGCGCUGCGCGCGGCGGCGGCGGCUCGGUGCCCGGCGGGCGGGCGGCCCGUCUGCGCGGCCCGGGCGGGCCUGCGGUCAGGGAUGAGGACUGCGCCUCCGCGCCGCAGAGCGCCGGGGCUGCGCGCGGGCCGGGCGCCGGCCGCCGCUGCCGUUCCGGGAGCUCGAUUGCAUCCGCCAGCGCGGCGAGCGGAGCGGGGCCCUCGGAGCCGGAGCCAAGAAAUCCUCACUGCUCAAGAAGCUGUGCAGCGACCCAGCUGAGGGCCGACUCCCCAGGUACGUAGACGGGGACAGCUGGCGGAGGCUGGCAGGCCACCCCCAGCCGGAGAUGCCCUUGUCCCCAUGCCCCCACCGCCCCAGCCGUCUGCUUCCACCUCCCAGCUUGGGCGCUAAGUGGGGCUGCCAGCUGCCUCCCCAAGAGGCCAGCUCCAGGAGCCGCUGUCAGGAGCCGACACAGGCUUCCUACCACAGCCCGGAGCCGGGCAGAGGGGCGGUGCGGACUGCAGCUUGUCACGCCAGGCUGUCAGCUCAGACCUUCUUUUCCUGAGCGGCCUGCAGCGCAGCUCUUUCAAACUGGCGGCUCAGGCCUGUUUCCAGACCCCGCCCAGCCUGCCCGUGAGCCCCUUCCUGCAGUCUGUCUGCACUGGAGCUCAGAGGGUGACAGGGCCCCAUAGUUACAGUCUCCACAGGAGCACAUUGGUCCCCACCUUGCUCUCUGAGCGCUUUAUGAAAAGGCCGUCACUGACCUCACCUGACCAUGACCCUCAAAGAGGUCCC
rnacentral:lncRNA from 1 species